ACUGCACAUUGAUGUGUAGGGAAGCCUCUGCUCCACUCCGUAAUAGAAGCCAGCAACACAUCCAUGCAGAAAACUCACCCGCCCCCGUUUCUGCCUCCCGCCACCUCAAGGGAAUAUGGAAGAGCAUCCAGUCUACGAGAGACUAGGGUCUUUGGUUGACAUCUAUCCUGGAGGUACAAGGAGGAGAAGGUGGACUGGAAAAGGGAGGAGGCUGAUGGUGGAAAAUUGGCAAGGAUGCUAGGAUUGUGAGAUUUGUGGUGUGUUUGUGCCUGGAGGAGUGGAUCCCAAAGAGGCCAGGAGCAAUUAGUGCAAAAGAGACCUCUGCAACAGCUGAAGGAGGGUUGGUAUCUGACUGGCUUGGCUCCCACAGCUGCCCAUAAUUCCUCUUGCAUUUUGGAGACCAGAUGAACAGCAAUGUGUGAUUGAAGGUGCUUUGGAGAAUAGCUGGACCACCUCUUCUUCCUGACAGCCCCUGAGAUAUUGGAACACUGCUAUCAAGUCACCCUUAGUCCUUGGUCAUUGCCAAAAGUACCCCCUCAAGUACUCCUUCCAUAGAAAAAGGGAGAGGUGAACAUAGAUGUUUUGCCCAAUUUGUUUAAGCCCUGAAAGACCUCAUAAAAUUCACCACCAAUGUGAUAAGGUAGAAGAAACAGCAUACAACUGGAACAAGCUCAAGUGAUUUGAGUCCUCAAGAAAGCACCUGUUCUCUAGCCCAUGUACCCAAAACCACAGCUCAUAAUGCAGUGGUGGAACCGUCUUCUUCAUAGCAUGCCUCGAACAGGUGAGUUCCAGUAGUCAGAAACCAAAGAAACAGAUCAGAAGUCAACAGUAGAUCUAAUGGAUUAAUAUUGCACAACAGGUAUGGAGUUUGCUUGGUCUGGUAGACCUUUUCCAGGUUCUCCUUAAGGAGAAUAAGAGCAUCAACUCUCUUAAUGAGAAACAAUGACCCACAAAAAAGAGCUGAUGCAUCAAUUCAUUAAGAAGCAAUCCAUAAACUCAGAAUCCAUGGAUCUCCUUGGUCAACGUCUCUGAUAACUCCAAAAGCAUUGUUACACAGUUGAUUGUGAAACUAGACAAACAAUAGCAAGAGUUGUUGAAGGUCCAGGUAGGCAUGAUAGACUCUCAGAAAGUCUACCAUUGGCCUUCUACUAUGUCUAACAUGAACAGGCUAUUUUUAAUACAACAAUCAUCAUUUAUUUGAAAGGUAACAUUGCACUCAGUUCUGAACGGAUCAAGUAACCAGGGCACCAAAUUUGAUGAUAGGAUCAAAUUUGGCACGUUAGCAUACAUUCGUGGAGUUACUCCCACCUAAGGGUAAGAGACUAAAUCCUGAAAAUGAUGAUGAAAAGAGUAAUAAGCAACAAUAAUAAUCUAUACCUAUCUCCAAACCAACCUGUUUGACAGGUGGGAUGUGAAGCAUAUCUUCUUUGAACAUCAAAAAAAGGUUCUGAUAAAUUCCACUGUAUGCAGUGGUGUGUACAUUUUACACUUCUUCGUAGGCUCAAGAAAUGGAAGAAGGAAGAAAUAUUGUAGUCCUUAUACUGCUGGCUACAGGAGAAAGUUGGAUUGCCCCGUUUGUGAUACAUUGUUGUCAAGCCCCUAGCAUUGUUUAACCCAACACCUUUGACUGCAAGUUUUUGUUUUGUUUCUUUAACAUUUACCUUCCAGUUUCAUUUUGAUUUUUACAGCAUCUUCGUGGGCAACACAGGUGACAGGAAAAUGCAGUGUGGCCCUUGAGAAAGGAUUUUUCUCAGUUCUAGAUACUUUGGAGCUCCGGUUGAAGUCCUCCACCAUUUUUUCCCUCCUCAACCCUCGGUCACAACCUGCACAUUGUCGUAACUUGGAAUGAAUCCAUCUGAAUAAACAGAGAAAUGUC